GACGAACGCUGGCGGCGUGCUUAACACAUGCAAGUCGAACGGUGAAGCGCCUUCCUUUUUGGUGGGUGUGGAUGAGUGGCGAACGGGUGAGUAACACGUGAGUAACCUGCCCCCUUCUUCUGGAUAACCGCAUGAAAGUGUGGCUAAUACGGGAUAUUCUGGGUCUGUCGCAUGAUGGGUCUUGGAAAGAUAUUGUUUCGGUGGGGGAUGGGAUCGCGGCCUAUAAGCUUGUUGGUGGGGGGAUGGCAUACCAAGGCGGUGACGGGUAGCCGGCAUGAGAGGGUGGACGGUCACACUGGGACUGAGACACGGCGCAGACUCCUACGGGAGGCAGCAGUGGGGAAUAUUGCACAAUGGGCGGAAGCCUGAUGCAGCGACGCCGCGUGAGGGAUGGAGGCCUUCGGGUUGUGAACCUCUUUCGCCAGAGAAGCAGGCCUGCCUCGUUUGUGGGUGGGUUGACGGUAGCUGGAUAAGAAGCGCCGGCUAACUACGUG
rnacentral:rRNA from 1 species